AAAUGUAGUUUAGAAUCAUAACACACCUAACUAGUUCAAUGCAAAUUAUAAAUUUAGAAAUUGGAAAAAAUCCAAAACGAUUCGAAACUGUUAAUACACGUUAUUGUUUGCGAAAACUUCACACUUGCUGGUUUGAAUAUAUAAUAUAUCCGAGACUAUACGAAAUAAUGUUACAAAUUAAAUAUUAUCCUGGCGAAGGAUACAAUUAUUUAUUCAUGCCAGACUAUAGAUUUUAUUGUGAUGAAAAAAUUCAACGACACCAAAGUUCUUAUUACAAUUGGCCUUUCCGUACUCGGAUUUGGUAUCCGUAUAAAAAUUUGAGGUUAUAUUUCGAUUAUAUGCCCUCAAGGAGACCUUUUAGAGAACAAAGAAUACGCCGUCUCAUUUAUUGACACUAUGAUGAUUAUUUUCAAAAAAACAAACAACAAUAAUUUCAUAAGAUGACAAUCUUAAGAACAAAUUCUAUUUGAAUAUCUUCCUUACAAGUGUUUAUUAUAAUUAUUCGUAUUAAUAAAAAAAAUUAUCCGAUUUUUUUUCGUUAUUUUCUUA